AUGUACAUACCUGAAUACUCGUCAUAUAUCCGUACAUACUCGAAUACUGUCAAACUGGCACAUAUACAUAUAUACAUACCCGAGUACCUGUGCAUUUUUUUAAUUCAGCUAAACAGGUCUACAGAGUCUCAAUCUUGGCAAAGGCUUGCUUUGCUCCUUUGCCACUCGGCAAACUCUGACCCGUUAGAUUGGGUAGUAGAGAUUGUGAAGAGCAACACGAGCAUCUACUUUACUGACAGGGAAUGUAGGUGUAAUACGUACAUAGUGGUUUUCAUGGUAAAGGUUCUAGUAGAUGUAUGGUCAUUUUAG
rnacentral:rRNA from 1 species